UUCAGGUUGAAACUAGUAAAGUAUUUUUGUGAGAUACUAGCAUCGUCUCUCCAUACUCUAUUUUGCUAGUCGGUGGUCCCAUUAACAUUCAACACCAGUUGAGAUUUGGUGUUCUAGAGGCUGGAGCCUUUGGUGUUUCUCAGUUUAGGAAACGAGCAUUCAUAUGGACAGCUUCUCCAGAAGAGACACUCCCAGAGUGGCCAGAACCAAUGCAUGUCUUUGCAGGCCCAGAACUGAAAAUCACAUUACCAGGGGAUGUACAAUAUGCUGCCGUCAGGAGUACAGCUGGAGGGGCACCCUUUCAUGCAAUAACUGUGAGAGAUACAAUUGGAGAUCUCCCACCUGUUGGAAAUGGAGCAUCUAAAACAGACAUGGAUGUUAAACUAUAUACUGGUCAAAUGGUGGAUUUGAUACCUUGGUGCUUGCAACGGAGCAGAGCUCGAUAAAUGCUUGCAUGAAUGGAAAGAAUCAGGUGUAUGUGAUAUGAAAGAAGUGGAGAUCAAGUUACCAUAACAUAAUUCAAAAUGUUCAACUG